rnacentral:rRNA from 1 species
AUACCGGCGACCCGAGUGGCGGCCACUAUUAUUGGGCCUAAAGCGUCCGUAGCCGGUCUGGUAAGUCCCCUGGGAAAUCUGGCGGCUUAACCGUCAGAAUUCCGGGGGAUACUGCCAGACUAGGGACCGGGAGAGGCCGGGGGUAUUCCCGGGGUAGGGGUGAAAUCCUGUAAUCCCGGGAGGACCACCUGUGGCGAAGGCGCCCGGCUGGAACGGCUCCGACGGUGAGGGACGAAGGCCAGGGGAGCGAACCGGAUUAGAGACCCGUGUAGUCC